GAUCAUGGCUCAGGAUGGACGCUAGCUACAGGCUUAACACAUGCAAGUCGAGGGGCAGCAUGGUCUUAGCUUGCUAAGGCCGAUGGCGGCCGGCGCACGGGUGAGUAACACGUAUCCAACCUGCCGUCUACUCUUGGACAGCCUUCUGAAAGGAAGAUUAAUACAAGAUGGCAUCAUGAGUCCGCAUGUUCACAUGAUUAAAGGUAUUCCGGUAGACGAUGGGG
rnacentral:rRNA from 1 species